GUCGUCAUGGCAGGCCGUGUUUGUCCCUCCGUCCUGCCCCAUUGCCUCCUCCCGUGGAACAGAGACACCUAAUCCGGGAUUCAGUAUUACACGGCAGGGACUCUCACCUCUAGGUGGUUCCAAGCAUCUGAUUCUGCCUUCCUGGUUUCCCAGGGCUGCUGGUUGCUUCCUCCCGGGCUUCUGGCUCUGGGCAUCUCUUGGCUGUAGCUGAGCCGCUCAGGCAGCGCUUCCACAAAGCAGAGCAGAGCAAACUGUCUGUAGAAGCAGGCUUGCCGGUCCCUGGGUUUCUGCUGCCGGAGCUGCUCGGGGACUGUACAGGACCAGCAGGCGACACCCUGCCAGGAUACGCUGUCUGCUGUCACCUCUGUGCCAGACAUGGGGCCUACUCCUUACAGACGCCGUCUCACUUCAUCUCCCAGUUCUGCUCUGAAGAAGGCAGAAAGAAGCCCAGUGGCCUGGCUGGCAUGGCCGGUGGGCUGCAGGCCCCAGCUUCCCCCUCAGCUGAACCUGAUGGGCUGAAAUCACCUUGCCUCUGGAUCAUGAGUCUUGAGAAGUUGUGGAGAGAGGUGUCAGAGAACCACCUUAACACUGUUCUGCAUUCUCCACCAUCAUCAUCUUCACCAUCCUCCCAGGUAAAAUUUGUCCAGCACCAUCCUGUGCCUGGUACUCCCCUGAGCACUUUCUGAGCAACAGAACAUGUCAAUCUCCACACGCUCGCGAGGGAUGCACUCUUAUGGUCCCAUCCCACGGAGACCACCUGGGGUUCACAGAGGUUACAUGGGCUGCCCAAGGUCACGCAGGCUUGGUCAGUGGUAGGGCCGGGAUCAAGUUCAGGCGGGCUGAUUCCAGAGCCCACAGUCCUGACCAAGGCCAAGGACUGCUCAGAUCUAUCCAUCAUGCGAUGGUUUAUGGGAUUAAUACUUUGUGGUAGGAAGAAGAAAUAAGAGGGCACAGAGGAGGUGACAAGGAUGUUUAGUUCCAAAACAAAAGCCACAUCAAUUGAAAAGGAGAAAGCAAAAGAUUCAGAGCAGAUGGCAGCAGAAUCUGUGGGCGACCCUGGCGUCAGCCAGGCCUCAGCCCACAUGAGCUCCUUAACUGUGGACAGGUCGAGGGGUGACUUG
rnacentral:lncRNA from 1 species